rfam:Myotis brandtii contig199026, whole genome shotgun sequence.
GAGACACCCCUAUGGAGCAGGACUUGCUUCAGUGGGUCUUCGGAGCUCACUGGGUCUAUCCCUUGAGUGUGUCGCU